rnacentral:rRNA from 1 species
AGUGAACGCUGGCGGUAGGCCUAACACAUGCAAGUCGAACGGCAGCACAGUAAGAGCUUGCUCUUACGGGUGGCGAGUGGCGGACGGGUGAGGAAUACAUCGGAAUCUACUUUUUCGUGGGGGAUAACGUAGGGAAACUUACGCUAAUACCGCAUACGACCUACGGGUGAAAGCAGGGGAUCUUCGGACCUUGCGCGAUUGAAUGAGCCGAUGUCGGAUUAGCUAGUUGGCGGGGUAAAGGCCCACCAAGGCGACGAUCCGUAGCUGGUCUGAGAGGAGGAUCAGCCACACUGGAACUGGGACACGGUCCAGACUCCUACGGGAGGCAGCAGUGGGGAAUAUUGGACAGUGGGCGCAAGCCUGGUCCAGCCAUACCGCGUGGGUGGAGAAGGCCUUCGGGUUGUAAAGCCCUUUUGUUGGGAAAGAAAAGCAGCAGGUUAAUACCCCGCUGUUCUGACGGUACCCAAAGAAUAAGCACCGGCUAACUUCGUG